GGACCCCAGACUUUACCUCGGAUCUCCCCCCACGGGACUGCCACGGAGAGCUCUGAAACUGGACACAGCGCACUCUGGUUUAACAAGACUUGCGACAUCUGUCUGGUUUAGUUUCUGAUCAUGUGACCAACUGAAAGUUUCUUAAAUGCCAACCUUACCACAGGUGGGAGUGACUUGACUAAAUUCUGGAUCCAUAAAACUUUGGGAAAGUUCUCAACGAGCGCAAAGUAAAGACUGAUUUAAAACGAGCACGAGCCUCGCCGGUUACCUGCUUGUUUCAUCGUGCUGGAUGUCACGUGUCUGACGCCUUUCAAAGCCUGCAUCAUCUUAGCGCCUGAAAACACUGUAAAUAAAACCUGAC